rnacentral:tRNA from 1 species
GAGGGUGUAGCUCAGGGUAGAGCAGUGCUUAGCAUACACAAGGUCCUGGGUUCAAUCCCCAGUACCUCCA